UACGUAGGGUGCAAGCGUUGUCCGGAAUUAUUGGGCGUAAAGAGCUUGUAGGCGGUUUGUCGCGUCUGCUGUGAAAUUUCGGGGCUCAACCCCGAACUUGCAGUGGGUACGGGCAGACUAGAGUGUGGUAGGGGAGACUGGAAUUCCUGGUGUAGCGGUGAAAUGCGCAGAUAUCAGGAGGAACACCGAUGGCGAAGGCAGGUCUCUGGGCCACUACUGACGCUGAGAAGCGAAAAGCAUGGGGGAGCGAACAGGA
rnacentral:rRNA from 1 species